rnacentral:rRNA from 1 species
GAUGAACGCUGGCGGCGUGCCUAAUACAUGCAAGUCGAGCGAACAGACGAGGAGCUUGCUCCUCUGACGUUAGCGGCGGACGGGUGAGUAACAUGUGGAUAACCUACCUAUAAGACUGGGAUAACUUCGGGAAACCGGAGCUAAUACCGGAUAAUAUAUUGAACCGCAUGGUUCAAUAGUGAAAGACGGUUUUGCUGUCACUUAUAGAUGGAUCCGCGCCGCAUUAGCUAGUUGGUAAGGUAACGGCUUACCAAGGCGACGAUGCGUAGCCGACCUGAGAGGGUGAUCGGCCACACUGGAACUGAGACACGGUCCAGACUCCUACGGGAGGCAGCAGUAGGGAAUCUUCCGCAAAGGGCGAAAGCCUGACGGAGCAACGCCGCGUGAGUGAUGAAGGUCUUCGGAUCGUAAAACUCUGUUAUUAGGGAAGAACAAAUGUGUAAGUAACUAUGCACGUCUUGACGGUACCUAAUCAGAAAGCCACGGCUAACUACGUG